AUUGAACGCUGGCGGCAUGCUUUACACAUGCAAGUCGAACGGCAGCACGGGAGCAAUCCUGGUGGCGAGUGGCGAACGGGUGAGUAAAGUAUCGGAACGUGCCCAGUCGUGGGGGAUAACGUAGCGAAAGUUACGCUAAUACCGCAUACGAUCUAUGGAUGAAAGCGGGGGAUCGCAAGACCUCGCGCGAUUGGAGCGGCCGAUAUCAGAUUAGGUAGUUGGUGGGGUAAAGGCUCACCAAGCCGACGAUCUGUAGCUGGUCUGAGAGGACGGCCAGCCACACUGGGACUGAGACACGGCCCAGACUGCUACGGGAGGCAGCAGUGGGGAAUUUUGGACAAUGGGCGAAAGCCUGAUCCAGCCAUGCCGCGUGCAGGAUGAAGGCCUUCGGGUUGUAAACUGCUUUUGUACGGAACGAAAAGGUUUGGCCUAAUAAGCUGAGCUCAUGACGGUACCGUAAGAAUAAGCACCGGCUAACUACGUGCCAGCCGCCGCCGUAA
rnacentral:rRNA from 1 species